GACGAACGCUGGCGGCAGGCCUAACACAUGCAAGUCGAACGAGUGGCGGACGGGUGAGUAAUGUCUGGGAAACUGCCUGAUGGAGGGGGAUAACUACUGGAAACGGUAGCUAAUACCGCAUACCAUCAGAUUUGCCCAGAUGGGAUUAGCUAGUAGGUGGGGUAACGGCGAACCUAGGCGACCAUCCCUAGCUGGUCUGAGAUGAUGACCAGCCCCACUGGGACUGAGACACGGUCCAAGAUCCGACGGGAGGCAGCAGUGGGGAAUAUUGCACAAUGGGCGAAAGCCUGAUGCAGCCAUGCCGCGUGUAUGAAGAAGGCCUUCGGGUUGUAAAGUACUUUCAGCGGGGAGGCGUUACCCGCAGAAGAAGCACCGGCUAACUCCGUGCCAGCAGCCGCGGUAAUAC
rnacentral:rRNA from 1 species